rnacentral:rRNA from 1 species
CUCGGCAACGGAUAUCUCGGCUCUCGCAUCGAUGAAGAACGYAGCGAAAUGCGAUACUUGGUGUGAAUUGCAGAAUCCCGUGAACCAUCGAGUCUUUGAACGCAAGUUGCGCCCGAAGCCUUCGGGCCGAGGGCACGCCUGCCUGGGCGUCACGCAUCGCGUCGCCCCAUCUCCCCUGCUC